rnacentral:rRNA from 1 species
AUGAUUUCUAUAAUCUGUACUCAGUACUCCUGGGAGAUCGGGUUUGGAAUAAGAUACAGCAAGAGCCGUCUAAAUGCUGGAAGAACGAAAUGCAUGCAAGAAAUCGUCCGUGGUUGCUCAGGAAAACCAGAAGCCGAGAACAGCAAGUCGUGCAGAUGCGAGUGCCCAGCACUAAUCAGACUUCUGCGUGCAUGA